AGUGAACGCUGGCGGUAGGCCUAACACAUGCAAGUCGAACGGCAGCACAGUAAGAUCUUGCUCUUACGGGUGGCGAGUGGCGGACGGGUGAGGAAUACAUCGGACUCUACUUUUUCGUGGGGGAUAACGUAGGGAAACUUACGCUAAUACCGCAUACGACCUACGGGUGAAAGCAGGGGAUCUUCUGACCUUGCGCGAUUGAAUGAGCCGAUGUCGGAUUAGCUAGUUGGCGGGGUAAAGGCCCACCAAGGCGACGAUCCGUAUCUGGUCUGAGAGAAGGAUAAGCCACACUGGAACUGAGACACGGUCCAGACUCCUACGGGAGGCAGCAGUGGGGAAUAUUGGACAAUGGGGGCAAGCCUGAUCCAGUCAUACCGAGUGGGUGAAGAAGGCCUUCGGGUUGUAAAGCCCUUUUGUUGGGAAAGAAACGCAGCAGGUUAAUACCCCGCUGUUCUGACGGUACCCAAAGAAUAAGCACCGGCUAACUUCGUG
rnacentral:rRNA from 1 species